CUCCUAACUUUUUAACCACCCAUC
rnacentral:miRNA from 1 species